UACGUAGGGUGCAAGCGUUAAUCGGAAUUACUGGGCGUAAAGCGUGCGCAGGCGGUUUUUCAAGACCGAUGUGAAAUCCCCGGGCUUAACCUGGGAAUGGCAUUGGUGAUUGGAAGGCUUGAGUGUGUCAGAGGGGGAUAGAAUUCCACGUGUAGCAGUGAAAUGCGUAGAGAUGUGGAGGAAUACCGAUGGCGAAGGCAGCCCCCUGGGAUAACACUGACGCUCAGGCACGAAAGCGUGGGGAGCAAACAGG
rnacentral:rRNA from 1 species